CCAUGCUAGGCGGGGAGCUGGCGGUUCCCUGUACCCGAAAUCCGCCAUAUGCGGGGCCGAAAGCCACCAGAGGCUAUCAUGGUCGGAACACGGUGCGUCGAAGGAUGUUGAGGGUUGGGUCCUGCGCAACGGGAACCUGUGAACCUGGUCAGGUCCGGAAGGAAGCAGCCAUAAGCAGGCUUACCGUGUGCCGCAGGAGUGCUCAACCUGAGUCUGAGGGCGUAACCGGUCCGGUUGUGGUUAGUCGAAGGUGGAUGCAUGG
rnacentral:SRP_RNA from 1 species